UACGAAGGGUGCAAGCGUUAUUCGGAAUCACUGGGCGUAAAGAGUGCGUAGGCGGUUUAUUAAGUUUGUUGUUAAAGACUCUAGCCUAACUGGAGGGUUGCAAUGAAAACUGAUAAGCUAGAGGGUGAUAGAGAGAAGUGGAAUUCCCGGAGUAGCGGUAAAAUGCGUGGAUCUCGGGAGGAACACCAAUGGCGAAGGCAGCUUCUUGGCUCAUUCCUGACGUUGAGGCACGAAAGCGUGGGGAGCAAACAGG
rnacentral:rRNA from 1 species